UGGAGAAUGAGCAACUGUGUUCCUGCGUCACUGAAUUCUCUGUAAUAUUUCAUAUAUUUCCAGCCUAAAUUGACAGUGUGCAGCUGAGAACAUGGCGGCCAACGCCCGCAGAUUGUUUUAUUUCUUUCUUAUGGCUUCGGGGCAUCGGCGGGUUAUUUCAGCAGCUGUUUCAGUGACUGCAGAUUUCACACUGAAUACUUCUCACAAGCAGGGUGACGUCCACACACUGCGUCCCAAACCAGCCAGGAGGGUCUUCAGCAGCUCAGUGACGUCCCCCACGGCCAAUGUCCAAGUACAGGCAUCCUGUGUUUCCAGUGCCACGUUAUCAGGCCCGGUCGACAAGGCACCGAUGUUAAACUCAACUUAUUUGUCACAUACACAGUCGUACAUGGUAUGAUAUGCAGUGAAAUGCUUUAGCGACUGAUAUAGACCCCUGUCAUGAUCCGGACCGGCAGGGGUUACUCCGGAUCCAGAGUUCGGACCAGAGUUUCAUGUUCGUCUUGUGUAAUGUUUCCUGAUCGUGUUCAGCUGUUGUCUAUUUAUAUAAUUGUAUAAAACUAUCCUGUUCGUGUCUGUUCGCCGUCGGGUCUUUGUGCGUGUUGAUGUUCCCCUGUCUCGUGUGUAGCUUGUAUUAAACCCCUGUCCUGUGAAAUCAUGUGAAAGCGU
ensembl:lncRNA